GAUGAACGCUGACAGAAUGCUUAACACAUGCAAGUCGAUGGGGAAGUGGUGCUUGCACCAUGGCAACCAUGGCGGACGGGUGAGUAACGCGUAAGGGACUUACCUGCAGGACUGGGAUAACAGGGGGAAACUCCUGACAAGACCGGAUAAUGUCAUGGAGCUGCAUGGCUUUAUGAUGAAAGGAGACGCCUGCGGAGAGCCUUGCGUCCUAUUAGCUAGUUGGUGAGGUAAUGGCUCACCAAGGCGAAGAUAGGUAGCCGGCCUGAGAGGGUGGACGGCCACAAGGGGACUGAGAUACGGCCCUUACUCCUACGGGAGGCAGCAGUGGGCAAUAUUGGACAAUGGGGGCAACCCUGAUCCAGCAAUUCUGUGUGCACGAAGAAGGUUUUCGGAUUGUAAAGUGCUUUCAGCAGGGAAGAAGUAAGUGACGGUACCUGCAGAAGAAGCGACGGCUAAAUACGUG
rnacentral:rRNA from 1 species